rnacentral:rRNA from 1 species
GACGAACCGCGCGACCGUUAUUCGGAAUCACUGGGCUUAAAGGGCGCGUAGGCGGGCCGUCAAGUCAGGGGUGAAAGCCCCCAGCUCAACUGGGGAAGUGCCUCUGAUACUGGCGGCCUCGAGGGAGGUAGGGGCGUGCGGAACUUCCGGUGGAGCGGUGAAAUGCGUAGAUAUCGGAAGGAACACCGGUGGCGAAAGCGGCGCGCUGGACCUCUUCUGACGCUGAGGCGCGAAAGCCAGGGGAGCGAACGGG